UGCCAGCCGCCGCGGUAAUACGGAGGGUGCAAGCGUUGUUCGGAAUUAUUGGGCGUAAAGCGCGUGUAGGCGGUUCGUUAAGUCAGAUGUGAAAGCCCUGGGCUUAACCCAGGAAGUGCAUUUGAUACUGUCAUUCUUGAGUACGGGAGAGGGAAGCGGAAUUCCGAGUGUAGAGGUGAAAUUCGUAGAUAUUCGGAGGAACACCGGUGGCGAAGGCGGCUUCCUGGACCGAUACUGACGCCGAGGUGCGAAAGCGUGGGGAGCAAACAGGAUUAGAUA
rnacentral:rRNA from 1 species